rnacentral:rRNA from 1 species
UGCCCUACGGGAGGCAGCAGUGGGGAAUAUUGGGCAAUGGAGGAAACUCUGACCCAGCAAUGCCGCGUGAAUGAAGAAGGUCUUCGGAUUGUAAAGUUCUUUAGUCAGGGAAGAAGUCAAUGACGGUACCUGAAGAAUAAGCUCCGGCUAACUACGUGCCAGCAGCCGCGGUAAUACGUAGGUGGCGAGCGUUAUCCGGAAUGAUUGGGCGUAAAGGGUGCGUAGGCGGCCUGCUAAGUCUGGAGUGAAAGGUACCGGCUCAACC